AGUGAACGCUGGCGGUAGGCCUAACACAUGCAAGUCGAACGGCAGCACAGUAAGAGCUUGCUCUUACGGGUGGCGAGUGGCGGACGGGUGAGGAAUACAUCGGAAUCUACUUUUUCGUGGGGGAUAACGUAGGGAAACUUACGCUAAUACCGCAUACGACCUACGGGUGAAAGCAGGGGAUCUUCGGACCUUGCGCGAUUGAAUGAGCCGAUGUCGGAUUAGCUAGUUGGCGGGGUAAAGGCCCACCAAGGCGACGAUCCGUAGCUGGUCUGAGAGGAUGAUCAGCCACACUGGAACUGAGACACGGUCCAGACUCCUACGGGAGGCAGCAGUGGGGAAUAUUGGACGAUGGGCGCAAGCCUGAUCCAGCCAUACCGCGUGGGUGAAGAAGGCCUUCGGGUGGGAAAGCCCUUUUGUUGGGAAAGAAAAGCAGCAGGUUAAUACCCCGCUGUUCUGACGGUACCCAAAGAAUAAGCACCGGCUAACUUCGUG
rnacentral:rRNA from 1 species